UGUGGGGUUCCGCUCUGACAGGCCCCGGGCCCCAAAGCAGCCUUAGGGCACUGCAGCCUGGAAGCUAAGCAGGAUUGGGCCUGGCUGGGGCUUGGGUGGGAGACUGCCUAGGAAGACCAGGGAGACUCCAAAG
rnacentral:rRNA from 1 species